rnacentral:rRNA from 1 species
CCUACGUGAGGCAGCAGUAGGGAAUCUUCCACAAUGGGCGAAAGCCUGAUGGAGCAACGCCGCGUGGGUGAAGAAGGUCUUCGGAUCGUAAAACCCUGUUGUUAGAGAAGAAAGUGCGUGAGAGUAACUGUUCACGUUUCGACGGUAUCUAACCAGAAAGCCACGGCUAACUACGUGCCAGCAGCCGCGGUAAUACGUAGGUGGCAAGCGUUAUCCGGAUUUAUUGGGCGUAAAGGGAACGCAGGCGGUCUUUUAAGUCGGAUGUGAAAGCCUUCGGCUUAACCGGAGUAGUGCAUUGGAAGCUGGGAGACUUGAGUGCAGAAGAUGAGAGUGGAACUCCAUGUGUAGCGGUGAAAUGCGUAGAUAUAUGGAAGAACACCAGUGGCGAAAGCGGCUCUCUGGUCUGUAACUGACGCUGAGGUUCGAAAGCGUGGGUAGCAAACAGGAUUAGAUACCCGGGUAGUC